CAUGCAUGUUAUUUCAAAUUUUCUUAUUUAGCUUAUUAGUUUAUCAAAAUCAAUAUACCGUCCAUCUACAAUAUUUACUGUAUGAAAACAUUAUUGAUUCGUGUUACUCAGUUUUUAGUUUUCUACGUAGUAUUUUGUGAAAUGUUUGUCUGCUGGUCUUUUUCUUUUAUAGCCAUGGCUUGUAAGUUUAUUAGGGCCCCGCCUUUAGGCGGGUCGCCCUAUAGUGGUCAGUCCGUCCGUCCGUCCGUAACACUUUAACUUUGUGUCCGCUCCAUAUCUAGAGAAUCAUUAUGAUUUCAUACUUAUCUUUUACAUGUUUAUUAACCACCACCAAGGGCGUGUCAUGAUGUAUGUACAACUUCCUAGGUCAAAGGUCAAGGUAAAAAAACUUUGGUUUCAGUUGACAACCCUGUGUUCUGUGGUGAAGAUCGUGUCCGCUCUAUAUCUUGAGAACCGUUAUGAUUUCAAAGUUUAUACUUGACAUUGUAUAUGAACCAACACCAGAGGGUGUGUCAUAAUUAUGAACGACUGCCUAGGGCAAAGUUCAAGGUCAAAAACUUUGGUUUCAGUUGACAACCCCAUGUCCUAUGGUAAAGAUUGUGUCCGCUCUAUAUCUUGAGAACUGUUAUCAUUUUAAAGUUUAUACCUGAAAUGUAUAUAAACCAAUAUCAGAGGGUAUGUCAUAAUUUAUGUACAACUUCCUAGGUCAAAGGUCAAGGUCAAAAACUGGUUUCAGUUGACAACCCCAUGUCCUAUGGUAAAGAUCAUGUCCGCUCUAUAUCUUGAGAACCGUUAUCAUUUCAAAGUUUAUACUUGACAUGUUUAUAAACCAACACCAAAGGGUGUGUCAUAAUUUAUUUACAACUUCCUAGGUCAAAGGUCAAGAUCAAAAACUUUGAUUUCAGUUGACAAACCCAUGUCCUAUGGUAAAGAUACAAUUUUUUAAUGCACAUUAUUCACAACGGGGCCCACAGAGAUGGCUCCCAUCUCAAUGAUAUCUAGUUUUCUACUUAUCAUUUUGAAUGACCCUUUUGUAUUUUUCACCUCUCUUUUACAUGACAAGUUUUUAAUCAAAAUACUCAAUGCACAUUAUGGUUGUUGAAUUGUUUAUUUUGAUUCUGUUUUUCUUAUGUUCUACUUUUCACAAUCACAAUCCAGUCAUAUUCCCUUGAUUGUGACAUCACCAAUCAUUGAAUCAGGAACUGCUUACACUUGGAGCACAUUAGUUUUUGGUAGCGUAUAUGUUCCUCAAUUUUUGUUUUCUAUGUAGUGUUUUUUCACUAUUGCAUGUGUUUUGUUUUUUAUGGCCAUUGUGUUGUCUGUAUAACUCCAACUAUAUAUAUUUUUUCUGCCCCCUUUAUACAUUAAGAUUGAUAGGAAAAUAAGGACUUUUUUUUUUAAUCCACCCCUUAAUAUACACUAAUUUGUUGAAUUUACCUUGUAUCUUUGUGCUUCAAUGGACAGAUACAGGUUUAUUGACACCACACAAAAGUAUUCUGUUCAAUUUGUGCUGAAAGUGCAGAGAGGUGUAAGCACUGGCUCCAGUAUUUAGGCCUAACCAUGACUUCAAAAUUAAGAACACCAGAAAUUAUGUUCCUUUUUUUGUGUUUAAUUCAGUGUGUGCAGUGAUUUAUGUAAUUAUUGCCCGAUCCCUUUCUAUUCCAUUUAAUUUAAUCAAAAUCGACUAUUGUGUUUUGUACAGUUGUUUUGCUUUAAUGCCAGUUGUGUUCACAUUAAAUAUCAGAAUGCCAUGAAGCAACUUACUAAUGAUCUAAAUUAUUUAUUCUAAUUAUUCUCAAACCAAGAGGUUUCUUAGUUUUUAAAGUUUCAUUGCAUCAAUUGAUCCUUCCUGUCCAUACACAUGUAUAGUCCUUGAUUCCUUGAUAACUACAACAAUUAUUUCAGAUAAACUUAUAUCUUGUUUUCUAUAAAUAAUGUAGUCUGGGAUCUGAACUUGUUUUCGUUUUUGAAGGUCCCUGGUGCUUAUUAGAGACUUAUUUUUUUAAUUAGAUUGGUGUAGUGUGACAUACAUAAUUACCCUCAAUGAUAGUUGUGAAUGGAAGACUAAAUAAUAUAAAUUUGAUUGAAAUACAAACACUCUGUUCACUAUAGACUUGUACAAGAAUCUGACAAUGCUCCAUUUAUUCUCUGUUUUAAAGGUUUUUUUUGGAUCCUCAGGCUUUUUUUCAUUUUAAAACACUCAUUUAAAAAUUUAGUGUAAUAAUUAUCAGAAAAAGAGGUAGGAGGUAGUCCAAAAUAAAGGAUUCAUAUGUGUACUCACAUCCUACAAUUAAAAGCUUUCCAAAACAAUCGGGGAAAAAAACUUGUAAAAACGUAUUUGAUAAACAUUCUUGAUGUGAUUCCUUUAUAUUGGAUAUAACUAUGAAACUCUUCCUGAUAACCACUCAAGUUGAAGGUUAAUAACAGGAUAGCCGAAUCCUGCAAUGGAACGCUUCAAACAAUCCAAUUUUAAGAGUCUGAUAUACAAAUUCUACAUAUACCUGGCAGAAACACAUCAUUUAUUUGUUUUCUCCAUACACUAUUUCUGGGUAUUAUGUUUUUUUGUUGUUGAGACCAAUUGAGAGCAGGGAUGGGUUAGGUAUAUAUGAAUUAAUGGCUUCAUGGAAUCGUGUUUACUUUAAUGCUUGACCCCUGUUUUCCUGUAUGUCAAGGAAAUGUCAUUAAAGACCAUGACUAUGCAUUAUUAUCUUUUAUCAAAUUUCAAUUUUAUUUGUUUGUACAGAAAAAUAAUCCAGUAGUUUGUAAACAUGUUUUUUUGUUUGUUAAAAUGUUUUAUAUUUGCCUGUGAUAUUUAUAUAUUGUUUUAUAUUCUGUUAAACUAAACCAGUUAUUUGAGUUUUCUUAGCUUGUAUCAAUUUUUAAAAGUUUUGUCUUUAAUUUGAUUUUGAACAGAGUGCCAAGUUAAUUAAUAUAUGCAAUCAAACACUAUUAAAGAGCUUAGUUUUUAAGUACCAGAAAUAUAUACAUUGUCUUCUCGGGUGCACUACGUUUGCACGCAUUUUGGGAUUAAAAUGUUUUACGUUUGCACGCAGCUUUUGAUUACAUUUAAACAGGUAAACUCAGGUAAAAAUACAAAUAAAAAUUUAAUUAAAUUAUAAUUGACUAUAUAUUUUUGUUAUUUUCAUAAUAAAUAUGACUAUCAAUUAUUAGUUUUGAAAAUAUUUCUUAAUUCGAAUUAUAUAUUGUUCUGUUGAAUUCUAAAACCAAUUAUAAAGUGAUCAUUAUAAACUCCGUAGUAUAGCUUAAGGCAUACAUGUAACUUCAUUGUGAAUAUUUCAGGAUGAAAAGUGUUUCCACUAAUAGUGAUCGUUUUUUAAAAUAAGUUAAUAAUUUAAGUUAGUUUGUAAAGUUACACAAAGGUACAAACAUGGAGUCUCAGCACUUACCAACAUGUAAAGUAAUGAAUUUAUCAAUACUUUUACCUUUAUUUAAGAGUAGCUAUGUUUUAACAUUUUAACAUUUUCAUCUGUAUAUAUUUCUAGGAUUUAGUGCUUGUGCAUAAUAAAAUGGACUUAUCUUGCUCGAAAUCCAAUGGUCGGGUUGUUCAUUCCCCUAUUUCCAUUUUCAAUUUUAUGACAUAUAUUAUCUGAUUUUUUAUUUAUGGGCAAUUGAAAUGAAAAGUGUAUUCAUUUACUAAACUGCAGACAUACAAUCUGAUCUUUUUAAGUUAAAUUUAUUGUUUUAAGUUUUCCAUAGAAGGCCCUAAGAACUAGCACACUAUUGUAACACCUGGUUUUGGCUAUGGUUUUUUUUGGACUAAAUACUACUUUUGCCAGCUGUUCAAAAUAAAUAAAAGCAAAAACAAUGAAAGAAAAGAAACUAAAAAACAUCCUGACCUUCUCUUUCACUCCAUGAAUGAUGUUUCAAUAAAAUCAUUAUCAUGCAUUAGACAGUAUGUCUUCAUUGUGAAACAUUAUUAGCAGAAGACAUUAGCAAUAGAUAGAUAUCAUCACUUAAUUCUGAUGAAAAUUAUUUUUUUUAUUAAAAGAAGGAUUACCUAAAAAUCUAUUUUGUAGUAUGUGCAG
rnacentral:lncRNA from 1 species